rnacentral:rRNA from 1 species
UUCGCAAUGCCCGAAAGGCUGACGCAGCGACGCCGCGUGGAGGAUGACGCCCUUCGGGGUGUAAACUCCUGUUGCCCGGGACGAAUACCCGUUUCGACGGGGGUGACGGUACCGGGUGAGGAAGCACCGGCUAACUCUGUGCCAGCAGCCGCGGUAAUACAGAGGGUGCGAGCGUUGUCCGGAAUCACUGGGCGUAAAGGGCGCGUAGGCGGCUGGGUAAGCGUGUGGUGAAAGCCCGGGGCUCAACCCCGGGUCGGCCAUGCGAACUGUCCAGCUGGAGCACGGUAGAGGCACAUGGAAUUCCGGGUGUAGCGGUGGAAUGCGUAGAGAUCCAGAAGAACACCGGUGGCGAAGGCGGUGUGCUGGGCCGUAGCUGACGCUGAGGCGCGACAGCGUGGGGAGCAAACAGGAUUAGAUACCCUGGUAGUCCACGCCGUAAACGAUGGGCACUA